rnacentral:rRNA from 1 species
UUUAUCGGAGAGUUUGAUCCUGGCUCAGGACGAACGCUGGCGGCGUGCCUAAUACAUGCAAGUCGAGCGGACAGAUGGGAGCUUGCUCCCUGAUGUUAGCGGCGGACGGGUGAGUAACACGUGGGUAACCUGCCUGUAAGACUGGGAUAACUCCGGGAAACCGGGGCUAAUACCGGAUGGUUGUUUGAACCGCAUGGUUCAAACAUAAAAGGUGGCUUCGGCUACCACUUACAGAUGGACCCGCGGCGCAUUAGCUAGUUGGUGAGGUAACGGCUCACCAAGGCAACGAUGCGUAGCCGACCUGAGAGGGUGAUCGGCCACACUGGGACUGAGACACGGCCCAGACUCCUACGGGAGGCAGCAGUAGGGAAUCUUCCGCAAUGGACGAAAGUCUGACGGAGCAACGCCGCGUGAGUGAUGAAGGUUUUCGGAUCGUAAAGCUCUGUUGUUAGGGAAGAACAAGUACCGUUCGAAUAGGGCG